CCGUGCUUAUUAACGAGAAUCAAAUCCUGUCUUGUAUAGAAGCAGUGGAAAGCUUUGUGGUUUCUAUUAAAAUAUCGAGUUAUCGACUGUUUAUGGACUCUACGACUUGCUUCCACGAUUAUAAACUUGCUACGUUAAUUGGUUUUUGUCCCGUUUCUACGACGUACCUGGCUUUGAUUUGGACUUCGAUUUUAAGCGUAAAGGAAAAAAUAACCAAAAAAUCUGAAUUGAAAUGUUAUUUUGGGUGCAUGGACCAUUGUACAGAUUUCCAAAGUGGGUUUAUCCUCAUCAGGAAAGAAUCUAUCAUGUAUCUAUCUGGAAAGUAUUAUUAAAACGAGCGAUGAAUAUAUUUACAAUAACAUCCGAUUUUGCUACAGAUACUUUGAAAAUUAUUAACAAUUACCAAGUCACCUGUUAAUAAGAAAUGCAGUUCCCACAUUAAAUAUAUCAUCGCCUGAUCAUCUGCUAGAACAAGCAAUGUCACUUCGAUCAGCACCCACCUCUACUAUACAUGGCUAUUCUUCUCCAGCAUCAGUACUUUUUCCUACAGAAAUACCUAGUGUUACGAGUUUUAUUCAACACAAUGGUUUCUUAAAAUAAUUGAAAUAUUUUUUGCUAUAUUUUUACUUUCAAGAACUGGAGGCACCUAACGAGUCUAGCCAAGAAAGUAAUUGUUUAAUUCAUAAUGAAACAAAAAAUAUGUGGCAGACUGGGUAUUGAAAAUGUCUAGGGCUUAGGUCUUUAAAAACUGUCCUGUAUAUAUCAAAAGCUUUAUAGGAGAUGAAAGAUGUGAUUUGUCAUAUAUAUAUAUAUGAGCAUGAUUAUUCAAAAAGAUCACUGACACAUCCAUCUGCAAAAUUCGUAGACUUUAUGAAAGCUUUGUUUAAUAUAUGUAAAUGUAAAGUGCAUACAGGAAUCUCCGGUGUCUCUGCAAUUGUUUGAUAAUAUUUUAUUGAAUAUUGAUAUAUAUUCCAAUUUUAAUUUAUCAUGUGAAGUGCACUCUUCUUUAGAAAAUUUUAUUGUCUCAUGUAUAACUAACUUGAUGUGGAGAUGUGAACAAAAUAUUGAAAGGCAAAAUCAGUCGAUACAAUGAAAUGGAUAAAAUUAAGA